GGUCCCUCCAGCUUUGGAUUCUCAGGUUGCAUCUCCUUGAGCAUCAUGGGGCAUCUCAGUCAUGGGAGGCACCUGACAAUUUACCAGAGAAAAGCAUGAUGAAAGUUUCACCUGAAGCAAAAGGAGCUUGCCCUACGUGUCUUUUAGAAGGUAUUUUUGAACUCUGGUAUUUCCCAGACUUUCCUUACCACUUAGCGUAUUCCACAAAUGGCAACCACCAGCCUGAGGAGUUGUGUAGUCUUGCGGCUAGGCUUUGACCUAGCGAGGUGAUGAACGAGAUAUUUGUUGAGGAGACACCGCCCAUUUCAGAUGUCCUUCCCACUUCCUGAUUUCCCCAUUUUCUACAUAUGUCCAAAUUACAGUUUGGCUUUCAGAGUUGUUGCCUUGAUGGAAGAAGCCGUGUUUUCACACUUAACCCUGGCUGAAGAUGGAUUCGGAGGCCGACUCCACUUGGAGACUGAUGGCUUGGGAAAGGAAUGGAGUAGUGCAACAGUUUAGAUCGUCACUGCCCCUCAAGAACAAGGUGUUAAAGGCUCGUUCCCUGGUUUCUGGUGCUAUCAGGAGGAAGUGGAACCUACAAAAGACAUGCAUAAUGCGAGGAAACGGGGUCACUGGGGAUACACAUGGAUUGUGGGAUGCUGGCAACGCCCCUUCCUCUCUUUGGCUUUCUAGUAAUUAACUGUGUCCUGCAUUCCUGACACUGUGCUACCUUGCAGCAGACCCGAAAUCACUGGAGCCAACCUGCAUCUGAAACCCUGAACCACAAUAUUUUUUUUCUUUUCUAAAAAAAAAAUCUAUCAUUUCAAGCAUUUGUUAUAACAAUGAAAAACUGUCUAGUACUGGCCAGAGAGGGAUUUCUCCUGGAAGUGCUUUGGUCCCUAGAGGAUCUUCUCGUGGUCCUGAUGAUACUGCUUUCUUCGUUUGUUUUUCUCAUUUAUCCUUGUUUGUGUCCUUUAAAAAACUGUUGUAACUAUCAUUUUGUUUUGGGGAGGUACUCAAGUGAUUACUGGACCACAUUAUGCUAAUCAUCUUUAGUCUGUAAGAACAGUGUCUAGUAAAUUAAUUGGAUUUUCUACUUAAAGAAGAGCAGAUCCAUUAUACAGCAACAUUUCCCAAGAGAAGACAACCACAGAGACCAGCAGCAAUGUAUUCUCAGUUCUCUGGGGCGUGGAUUUGUGAUGUUGGUCUUUGAGCUGCAGGCCCUCAGACCUGUUCUCCAAGGUCCAGUGUAACAGGGAAGGAGGCUUGAGUCCAGGGUCCAUUCUUGGCGCGUCAGUUGGAGUUAUCAUCGUCAUAUUAUUAUUUGGUUUUUAAAUACAGGGUUUCUCUCUGUAACCUUGACUAUCCUGGAACUUUCUCUAUAGACCAGCUGGCCCUGAACUCGCAAAAAUCCACCUGCAUCUGACUCCUGAGUGCUGGGAUUAAAGGUGUGUGCCACCAACGUCUGGUGAACAGUUCCUAUAUUCUAAGUAAACUUUAAUAUGAUCAUCAUUGGCAUGAGCUACCACUGCCUGACAUUGGUUGGAAUUCUUGGUAGCAACUGUGUAAAACUCAAGUGGGAGAUGGAUUUAAUGGAGAAAUGUUACUUUGCUCUCAGAAUCCAUGGGAAGGCUGGGGAACCAGGUGACAAGAGUGAAUAAUUAGGGUUUUCCAAGAGGGUUCAGUGGGUAAAGACGCUUGUCGCCAUGCCUGACAUCCCAAGCAGAUUUCUGGAAGCCACAUGGUAGAAGGAGAGAACUAGCUCCUCUAACUUCUCCUCUGACCUCCAUACAUGUUUGUGCACACACAACAAAUGUUUUCAUUUUCAUUUUUAAAGAAAAGACGAUGAUCAGGAGAAGGAGCUGACCACAGAGAUACUGCCACCAGGCUGUCACUCCUGGACCUUGGCCAUCAUGUCGCUGGUCCCUGGCACCCUGUAUGUUCAUCACAAAGCUGCCUGACACACACACAGUGCCUCUGGCACAGCCACUACAGGAAUACACGUUAGAAGCAGGAGAUGGGCAUCUAAGCAUGGCAGAAGGUUCUGCGCUGUGGUGUGGCUGUGUGCAGGAGGCCAGCCACCUGGACCUGAAUCCCCACUGUAACUGAAUUUCAUUGAAUAGGCAAGAUUUGAUGACUACCGUGACAGAAUGCCCAGGUUAUCGCUGAAAAACCACUAAGGACUCAAGGAAUCUCCUGGAAUAGGAGCCUAUUGAUUGCCAGCAGGUUGAGCUGAGCUGUGUGGUACCUGUCCUAACUUAGCGUCUUUGUAAGGAUAUCUCUGAAGGGACUGAGACAGGGAGGCGGGAACAAUGUGGGGGACUUGUCCGUAUGAUGCCGUGGGCACAGUUGGUAGGUGAAGCAGACUACAAUUUUCAGUGUCAUCACAUCUUUGAUGCGACAAGUCCACAAGUAAAGGGCAUGUGUUCUCAAGCAAAGUUUCAGAUUUCAGGGUGAGAAGUUUGCCUUCGGCAGUCCGAGUCCCUUAAUUCCCUUUCAUUUAUCUAGAGCAGUGGUUCUCACCCUGUGAGAAGCGACCCAUUGGAGGGCGUCACAUAUCAUAUCUCCUGGUCAUCAGAUACUUACAUUAUGCAUAACAGUAAUAAAGUUACAGCUAUGGAGUAGCAACAAAGAUAAUUUUAUGGUCACCGCAUCAUGAGGAAGUGUGGAAGGGUCACAGCAUUAGGAUGCCUGAAAACCACUGGUCUAGAGGAAUGUGUGACUCAAACAGAAGAUGGCAAGGCAAAAUGAUCAGGGAAACAGAUUGUAUGAAUGUGGCCAGAGACCGAGGACAGCCAUAGGUACGGGAGCUGUAAAGAGGCUAAGAAUGCUGCCUGCUGGUACCUUGAUGUUGGCCUAGUGAAGUGAAAGUGGUUCCGAUCUUUGAAUGCUUGAAAGAAUAAAUUUGUUUUUAGCUGCUUGUUAUAGCAGCUCUAGGAAACUGA